GUGUCCACUUUCUGAUGGCUGAUGGGGGUUUCUCGGUGGAGGGGCAGGAGAACCUGCAGGAGAUCCUCAGCAAGCAGCUGCUUCUGUGUCAGUUCCUCAUGGCGCUGUCCAUUGUCCGGACAGGUGACACUUCCUCAGCUGUCUCCUCACCCCAGGACCCACUUAGAGGCCCUAUUGGACAAGAACAUGUACAAGGGGUUGGUGGGGAAGUUAAAAAAAUCUACUUAUAUUAGAUGACAGGUAGCUAAAUGAGUAAUUUAGGGAAGAAAGGGCUGUGGAAUCCUCAAAGUCCCCUCCAAAGAUGGUUCUCUCCCUUAAAUUGUCUCUGAGUUUUAACAGACCCAGGUGCUGGUUUCCUUGACUUUGUCAUAUUUACUCCCAAGACUACUUCACCCAUCUCUUGGAAUAGACCCAUUGGCUGCUUUUGGUGUUUUCUCUCUAAUCUAGGAGGCCACUUCAUCUGUAAAACCUUUGACCUGUUCACACCGUUUAGUGUGGGGCUUGUCUACCUGCUGUACUGCUGCUUUGAACGAGUUUGUCUCUUCAAGCC
rnacentral:sRNA from 1 species